UGUAAGCGUAUACCAAAGUUGUUGCAGUUAAAACGCUCGUAGUCGGAAUUUGGCAGUUCCGGAAGUGUGCACGUCGUGUGCGCACUUUGCGGGGACUGCUUUUGUGGUCUUGCGUAGGAUGAGGCACUUUCAUUAGUGAACGUCCUCACGCAACCACUCUUUACUGUGAGAAAAUCAGAGUGAUCAAAGCAGGCAUUUGCCGUGAAUGUAUUAGCAUGGAAUAAUAGAAUAGGACUCGGUUCUAUUUUGUUGGUUUGUUGGGACUGAGUAAUGAUUAAGAGGGACAGUUGGGGGCAUUUGUAUUCCGGCGCUAGAGGUGAAAUUCUUAGAUUGCCGGAAGACAAACUGCUGCGAAAGCGUCUGCCAAGGAUGUUUUCAUUGA
rnacentral:rRNA from 1 species